rnacentral:lncRNA from 1 species
AUUCGUAACCCUAAAAUCAUCUGGAUACAAAAAUCGUAAAACCCUAAAUUCGUCGUUCUGUUCAUACCUUUCCAGAUCCAAACUGAACCAGCGAAAUGUCUGCUGUGCAUCUCCGAACUAGCCAUCCGCGGAUCACUGAAAAGUACAGGUUUGAUGUUCUUCAAAUUCUUCAUGCGUCAAUUUAUAAAAGUUAAAACGAAUUGGUACAAUUAUAUUACCUCCUUGUACCACAGCUGCUGCAUCACUAAAUUCUUUGAAUUCUUUUCUGACUAUUCCUCCUUUGAUCCAUUUUUGUAUAGUCACAGCUGCUCGUUGUCUGUGUAGUAAGAUAGCGUACCUUUUUCUAUCUUCUCUACCACGAAUAACUGUAGAAGAACGAUGCAUCAACUAAAAUGUAAUCACCUGAUUGCAAUCAAUAAUUUGUUUUCGGAAUGAGAGUCAAAGGUAUACAUACAUGACUGAAGAGUGUGAAUUCCUCGUUUCAUCUCCCUGAGCAAAUGACGAGCUUUGUGACCUCUGAAACAGCUUUGAACUCGUAAUAUGCCAUUCAAAGUACGAUUUCUUGUAUCCUCAAGCUUUCCAAUCUGGCAAGAAAAAAUAGGCAUACAGUUCAAGUAAUAGAUAAUUGAAGGAAGGAAGAAGUGAAACCUGUUACCUGUCCAGUUCGAAAGAAG